AGUGGCGGACGGGUGAGUAACGCGUAAGAAUCUAACUUCAGGACGGGGACAACAGUGGGAAACGACUGCUAAUACCCGAUGUGCCGCGAGGUGAAACCUAAUUGGCCUGAAGAAGAGCUUGCGUCUGAUUAGCUAGUUGGUGGGGUAAGAGCCUACCAAGGCGACGAUCAGUAGCUGGUCUGAGAGGAUGAGCAGCCACACUGGGACUGAGACACGGCCCAGACUCCUACGGGAGGCAGCAGUGGGGAAUUUUCCGCAAUGGGCGAAAGCCUGACGGAGCAACGCCGCGUGAGGGAGGAAGGUCUUUGGAUUGUAAACCUCUUUUCUCAAGGAAGAAGUUCUGACGGUACUUGAGGAAUCAGCCUCGGCUAACUCCGUGCCAGCAGCCGCGGGAAUACGGGGGAGGCAAGCGUUAUCCGGAAUUAUUGGGCGUAAAGCGUCCGCAGGUGGUCAGCCAAGUCUGCCGUCAAAUCAGGUUGCUUAACGACCUAAAGGCGGUGGAAACUGGCAGACUAGAGAGCAGUAGGGGUAGCAGGAAUUCCCAGUGUAGCGGUGAAAUGCGUAGAGAUUGGGAAGAACAUCGGUGGCGAAAGCGUGCUACUGGGCUGUAUCUGACACUCAGGGACGAAGGCUAGGGGAGCGAAAGGGAUUAGAUACCCCUGUAGUCCUAGCCGUAAACGAUGGAUACUAGGCGUGGCUU
rnacentral:rRNA from 1 species